GAUGAACGCUGGCGGCGUGCUUAACACAUGCAAGUCGAACGGAAAGGCCCUGCUUUUGUGGGGUGCUCGAGUGGCGAACGGGUGAGUAACACGUGAGUAACCUGCCCUUGACUUUGGGAUAACUUCAGGAAACUGGGGCUAAUACCGGAUAGGAGCUCCUGCAGCAUGGUGGGGGUUGGAAAGUUUCGGCGGUUGGGGAUGGACUCGCGGCUUAUCAGCUUGUUGGUGGGGUAGUGGCUUACCAAGGCUUUGACGGGUAGCCGGCCUGAGAGGGUGACCGGCCACAUUGGGACUGAGAUACGGCCCAGACUCCUACGGGAGGCAGCAGUGGGGAAUAUUGCACAAUGGGCGGAAGCCUGAUGCAGCAACGCCGCGUGCGGGAUGACGGCCUUCGGGUUGUAAACCGCUUUCGCCUGUGACGAAGCGUGAGUGACGGUAAUGGGUAAAGAAGCACCGGCUAACUACGUG
rnacentral:rRNA from 1 species